rnacentral:rRNA from 1 species
UGGGGAAUAUUGCACAAUGGGCGAAAGCCUGAUGCAGCGACGCCGCGUGCGGGAUGAAGGCCUUCGGGUUGUAAACCGCUUUCAGCAGGGACGAGGCCGCAAGGUGACGGUACCUGCAGAAGAAGCCCCGGCUAACUACGUGCCAGCAGCCGCGGUAAUACGUAGGGGGCAAGCGUUAUCCGGAUUCAUUGGGCGUAAAGCGCGCGUAGGCGGUUUGUUAGGUCAGGAGUUAAAUCUGGGGGCUCAACCCCUAUCCGCUCCUGAUACCGGCAGGCUUGAGUCUGGUAGGGGAAGGCGGAAUUCCAAGUGUAGCGGUGAAAUGCGCAGAUAUUUGGAAGAACACCGGUGGCGAAGGCGGCCUUCUGGGCCACGACUGACGCUGAGGCGCGAAAGCUAGGGGAGCGAACAGG